ensembl:lncRNA
CACACACACACACACACACACACACACACAAAUAAUUACUGCUACUCCCGAUAUAGAUCAGCAGACUAAACUCAGCAGGGUCUGCUCGGUGGGGGAGACUAGGCACAAGGUCUUCUGGAGGACCAGGUCUUCUGGAGCCGGGUGGGACUCAGGACCAGGUCUUCGGGAGUCUGGAGGAGGACCAGGUCUUCUGCAGCUGGUGGGGACCGACAUGGCCAUGAGGUGCCUCUUCAGCCGAAGAGGACCGUUGUUUUCCAGCGCCAUCAGAGUGGACGAGUCUGGUUUCGUCUCUCCAACAACACCUGGAUUUUAGAAGUACUGUUGUGUCCUCUAUCUAGAGAACAACCUGCAAGCCUCACUGCUGAAG